rnacentral:rRNA from 1 species
GUCGAGAGGGAAACAGCCCAGACCAUCAGCUAAGGCCCCUAAGCGGUGACUAAGUGGAAAAGGAUGUGGAGUCGCAUUGACAACCAGGAGGUUGGCUUGGAAGCAGCCACCCUUGAAAGAGUGCGUAAUAGCUCACUGGUCAAGUGAUUCCGCGCCGACAAUGUAGCGGGGCUCAAGCACACCGCCGAAACCGCGGCAUUCACACGUUAGCCUAGCCUUCGUGGUUCAGGUGUGUGGAUGGGUAGGGGAGCGUCGUGUGGCGAGCGAAGCGGCGGGGGGG